GAAUACAAUCUCAAUGAACUGCCUGUAAUCAACGCCUAGAACAGACGUGUCUAGGAAAAUUCCUCCCCCACUUGGAGCAUCAGAUAUGCUUCCUACGCGGAAUCCACCAACUUUGAAGUAGUCAAGAAGCUUGAGAGGAGUAUCAAGUGGCACAAACGACACACUGUUGACUGCAUAUCUCUGUUUGCCAUUCACUUGACCAGCAGAACUAGCAAGUCUGAUGGUUCGGGUUGUGUUGAUCAUACCAUAAUGGUAUGAACCUUGUGGAUUCGGCCUUGGUCCACUUGCUGAUAAGUUUGUCCUAUACAUAAUCAAUAACCAGGUUAUAGGAACAGUUAAUGCUCAUCGGCUACUUUAAUCAGCUAAGUCAAACAUGCUCCAAAUAUGGGCUCAGUAGAAGUUGGUCAUACCUGAUGGAUCGAGCCUGGUUAAGGGACCAGUCGAUUUGGAUGGUAGGACCACCAGGAGGAGGACCGGAGACGGGGGUGUUAGAGUUACUAUAAUGAAGUACACCGGUGGUAGUGAGGACCUGAGACGUGAAACGCGAUGAAACAACAAUGUAGUGAUCUUUAGCUUCUUGAUCAGCUGUAAUGAGCACAGAGUAGGUUUGGCCAACAUGAACAUCAAGUGAAGAAUAGGUAGUUUGCAAUUGUGAAACGCGAUGAAACGACAAUGUAGUGAUCUUUAGCUUCUUGAUCAGCUGUAAUGAGCACAGAGUAGGUUUGGCCAACAUGAACAUCAAGUGAAGAAUAGGUAGUUUGCAAUGUGUGUGUUCCUUCUACUUCAACUAAUUUCAUCUUGUGUCCUUCAAUACGGAAGUUCAGCGAAUUUUGUAAUCCAACAUUGGAUAUCCUCAGUCUAUAAGUUUUCCCUGUUAUAAGAAAAACUCAUAGUUAGAAUUUUCAGAUAUGUGAUGACAUUAGGCUAUGAAUUUUCACAGAUUUUAGUAACCGAUAUUCCUCAAUUUUUUUACCUUGCUCGACUGUGAAAGAAACACCAUUAGGUCCACGUCCAUUGAUAAGAAUGCCAUCAGGAAAAGGUAACUUUUUUCCUCCAUCAAGAAUUGCUUUCAACGCCUGUAUAACAAGAAAUUCAAAUAAUAAUUUUGAGUUUCUAUCACUGAAUUCAAGUGUGUGUAUAUAUAUACAAAAUAAAACUUAUUUUUUACUUUUAGUUUAUUUGGUAUGAUGGAUGCAUGAGUUGAGCUUAAACAGGAAGUGACCCCGACAUGUUUGGAACGAAGGCCUAAGUUGCUCCGACAUGGCAGUUUAGGUGUCGCACUCGUAUCGAUAAUGACACUAGUAUAGGUGUGGGUAUAGGAUCCGUACUGGAUCUAGUCAAACAAUUGAGUAUUUUGACCAUGACGGACGGAAAAAUUCGAGACGAGAUAGUUGUUGUGGUUGUUGUAGUUUCUAUCACUGAGCAAUGGCUAUAUUUUUAUUUGAUUUAACUCAACUCAAACUUAUAUAUCCACAUUUCUUUUUCCAAAACAAUAACCUUGGCUUAAGUAUUGAAAUGUAAAACUUAGUUAACAAGUCUAGGAUCAGAUGAACAUUACAAAACCAUACUUCUUUUUGUAAUUAAAGUAGUUUAUUGAUUUCAAUCUUUCUUACUCUGCUCAAUGAUGUUAGCUCAGUAUAAGAAGUUUGGUUUAAAAGUACGACCCAGUACAAUACCACUCAGUGGUGUCUGGGGAGGGUAGUGUGUACGCAGCCUUACCCCUACCCUGGGGUAGAGAGGCUGUUUCCAANNNNNNNNNNNNNNNNNNNNNNNNNNNNNNNNNNNNNNNNNNNNNNNNNNNNNNNNNNNNNNNNNNNNNNNNNNNNNNNNNNNNNNNNNNNNNNNNNNNNNNNNNNNNNNNNNNNNNNNNNNNNNNNNNNNNNNNNNNGACAAGCUCACCAUCAGACCAAGCACCUCUUGUCAAAAAAAAAAAGCUAUAAUUUCCUGUUCAUGUCUCCUUUGGCGCCCGCAAUAAUAAAAGAUUUAGUCAAGUACAGACCCAGCAAGUAAUGGCCCACGAGAAAAAGCACACUAUAUUCCAAAAAUGCAACAAGCCAAACAACAUUACUACUUUACCUUACCGACACUCAAGACAUUAGACAAAACAAACCCACUUUCCACAUAACUAUUUGUACAUACAAUAUGCAAGUGUCUCUAUGUACUUGCAAAAAUUAAAUGCAUUUUAACAAAUUAAAUUUUAUAGAUCGAUAUAAAGAAUACUGGCUAUUUGUACAUACAACAUACAAGUGUCUCUAUGUACUUGCAAAAUAAAAUGCAUUGUAACAAAUUAAAGUUUAUAAAUUAAUAUAAAAAAUAUUUACACUAUCAGAUUAUUAAAAAGAUAAAAAGCAUACCGUGUGGUUUUUCUUAUACCAAUCUCCGAUGAGGACGGUGUAAUCGUCUGCGGGAUCUGGGAAAGGAACGGGGAUUCUUGGUCUGCUGAGAAUUUUAAUUCCUCCAAAACCACCAGCAGCUUUGUGAAAUGCAAGAGAAGGAAAAUAGUAAUAACUUCCUAUCUGAUCUUUCAUUUGUAGAAUGUAUGUGAAAUUCUUUCCUGGUGGUAUUGGGCAUGUUGUACCAUAUACUCCGUCUUCAAAUGAGUUUCUCCUGUUUUGUAUUCCAUUCCUACAUAUAUCCAAAAAGUCAAUUUAAAUCUUUAAAUGAGGUAAUUCACAAAAUGUAAUAUAGUAGAAGGACAUUGAUUUAGCUAAUAUUUAAUAUUUAACAAGAUUGUACGGUCAGGAAAUAAUAGAAAAAAAACAGCUGAAAUGGACAAAAGCACGAUCCUCAAAAAGACCAGAGAAAAAAAGAUGUACUCUAUUUGAGACAGAAUAAGCAGCAACUUUUCACAUGCAUAUCACAUGAUCUACCGACUAGUUACAUUCAAUCUAAUAUUUCAAACACUCAUAAUUUGUUCAUCAGACCAAAGUAACCAUGUGUUUUAAAUAUAUAAUGAGAAAAAUCCACGUUAUUUUAAUUUAUGUUUUUCUUUUGCAUUCCGUAUUCGAAAUUGACUUGCUCAAUCAAAGGCGGACCUAAAGUUCUACCGUCGCUGGAACAUAUAAAUAUUAUUUCAGUAAUACAAAAUUGGUACUGGGAUCAAUGCAAAUAUUAAAUUAUUUCAUGAAGACGUUUACAAGUAUACAUGAAGUUUUUGCUGAAGUUUUUCAGUAAUCUAUAGUGUGUGCUCGACUGAUAUGAAUUUAUGCUGAAAGUCAUAGGAAUAAAACACUCUUCGAUAAAAAUAUGUAUAUUUUUAAGAUUCGAAUUUGAGAUCAAAAAACAUUGUUGCUUACAUCGUUAUUUAAAAUGACUAAUUGGAAAAUAAUUUGGAAAUAAUUAUUCAGCUGGAUAAGUGACUAAAAUGUGCCCAAAAAUCACUAAAUAUGAUGCGUGGCGUAUAAAUUUAGACGUUGAUGUCAAGCACCAUGUGGUGCUUUCUAUUUUAGUUGUUAGUUGAAGCCAGCAGUGAGCAAGUGGUGAACUUGUCUUCAAAAUCCUACCUAAACUACAAAAUUACUAAUUCCACGCCAAAUUUUCUGCAGCAGUAAAGUUCAUUGUCACCUAAUCAAUCGAUUUUGAAAUCAAAUCUACUACUUGUAUGUCACUUGUUCUAGUUUGAACUUAUUCUCUACCCUACUAUUCUACAAGAGAUUGAAAUUACACAAGUCAAAUUGUUUCUUUAUAAUAAUCAGCUAAAUGAGGAGGAAUCAAAUGAAAAGAAAAACGUAUAUCCAACUAGACUCUGUUUUGCUAGUAUUUGGCCAGAGUGUACAAUUUUCGAUUUUAACCACAUUUGCAUAUUUAAACAAUUUUUAGAAAAAUGUAGAUCUAUACUAAUAUCCAUUACCACAAACUAGCAGUAGCUAUACAAAACAGUUUAUAUCCACUAAUUUAAGAAUCUCCACUCUGCCUCUAAUAUUAAAAGGGUGACGGACGUAUACUAAUACAUGAUCUAGAGUCAGGUUUGAAAUACGUCUAUCUUAUUGACUAUAUACAUUUCAAUUUUUUUGCUUAUAAGUAUUUAGUUCGAGCCAAAAGUAAUAACUUAAAUAUCUCGUCCUAAAACUGCCUUUAAUUAAGCUAGCGUUUGGACAUAGAUUUAGUUGAAAUUUGAAAAAAUAAUUUUUAAAAUAGUUUUGACAAAUAAUUUCAACAAUUAUGUUUGGAUAUCCAUUUUAAUUCAAAAAAAAUUUGAAAUAUUAUAAGUGGGUCCAAAAUCUAUCCUAAACUAGAUUUUAAAAACUUGAAAAAUAAUUUCAAAAUCUUUCAAAAAUAAAUUAUUAAUCUAUAAACCAAUAAUAUUUUCAAAAAAGAUUUAAAAAAAUUACCAAAAUGUAUGGCAAAAUUGGGCCUAAAGAGUGAGAUCUGACUACAGAACCUUUUUAGCUAGACACCUACCUAACUAGAUCGAAAAAAUUAAAAAAAAUACACCUAAAACAAUGGAAGCGAAACGGACAUGAGAAUUGUAAAUCCUCGAGGCAAAUUAUUAUAUACAGUCAUAGCUCCCUAUAAUAACAUAUUUGUAUAAUAUAGAUUCACUAUAAAUACAAAAGUUUCAAAACUGAUUUUUAUAUUAUAUUAUAAUAUAUAUAUUCUGUAACAACACUUUAGUAUAACAACCAUAAAAUAUGAGAAUACACGAAGUUCGUAUAAAGAGAUUUAACUGUAUAUAGAGGAGCGCUGGUGUUCUGAUCCUUGGUUUUGGUGAAUAGAGAUUCAGUAUUGAAUUCAGGACCAAAAAUGUAUUCGAAUCGUAAUAUUUCAAAGACCAGCAUUAUCAUUUUGACACGUGAUAUAUUAUGUACUACUAAUUACUUAGUUAAGGUUUAAAAUGUGAGAAAAUGGAAGAUUUGUAAAUUACCAGGAAAGAAGAAAAGGUUCGUCCAAGCUGUUGAAAACGUUGAUAAUGAGAUUGUCAUUAGUAACAGAGUAAAUAUCAGGUCCAGGAAAUUGGCCAUUGAUCAAAAUUCCCUACACAAACAGAAAAAAAUUACCAUUUUAUGAUCAAUGAUCAAAACAACCCAAAAAAACACAGAUCCAGACGAGAAAAAAAAACACAGACACACAUUCUAUUUUAAGAAACUGAGGAAAAGAAACUAACUUGUUGAGGAACUCCAAGAGGAUAAAUAGUGCCAUAAGUAACAUUCCACUCAAAGAAUCUAUAAGGAUCUUCUGCUACUGUAUUCACAACUAAUCCUACCACUAAAAAUG
rnacentral:lncRNA from 1 species